AUUUGUUUAACUAUGGCAAAAGUAAGUCUAGCUAUUAAAUCUGCAUAAAAAAUUUUUAUAAAAUUUAAAGUUAAGUAUUAACUUUAUUUAAUUAGCAGAUAGUUUUUUAUUAAGAUUAAUGUCUUUUAAGUUGAUUCUAGAAAGGGGAAAGGGCACAGUGCCAGCAUCCGCGGUUA
rnacentral:rRNA from 1 species